AAAGUCCGGGCUCCUUCGGAAAAAAUGCCGGGUAAUUACCGGGCAAACAAUGGUAACUGCAGUUUCUGCAUAGUCCAGUGUUUGACAGAAAGUGCAACAGAAAAUAUACCGCCAAUAAUGGCAAGGGUGAAAAGGUAGUGUAAGAGACUAUCGAAUAACUGGUAACAGUUAUUGCUUGUAAACCUCAUUUGGAGCAAGAUUAAGCAGCAGUUAAGUAUUCCGAGCUAUACUGCGGGUAAAUCGCUAGAAUCAAAUGGUAACAUUUGAUGCGGAUAGAUGGUUAUUGUCUUAAUGACAGACAGAACCCGGCUUACUGUCCCAUCU
rnacentral:RNase_P_RNA from 1 species